AGUGUUCCUGAGCAGAUUUCACCUGUACUAUUGGUCGUUGCUACUGUUGAUCUAGCAGACUGUAAAGCAUUUAUUGGAGUUGCUCGAGGCGAACUUAAGCAUCUGUGGAAUAACAAGUCCAGGAAGUAAUUGCAUCCACAAGGAAAAUAUUUUUAUGUAUAAUUCAGUGACCCAUUUUAUAAACAUUGCGGUUCCACCUUGGA
rnacentral:lncRNA from 1 species